UUUGCAAGUGAUGAGAAACAAGACAGGGACAUCAGCAUUCCUCAUAACUUGAGGAUGAUGACUUUAGUCUUUGGGAAUCUCUCUGAUGCAAU